CGGGGCGUAGCGCAGUCUGGUAGCGCACUUGCAUGGGGUGCAAGGGGUCGCGAGUUCGAAUCCCGCCGUUCCGA
rfam:Enhydrobacter aerosaccus strain CGMCC9176 contig_2, whole genome shotgun sequence.